rnacentral:rRNA from 1 species
UACGUAGGGGGCGAGCGUUGUCCGAAGUUACUGGGCGUAAAGAGUACGUAGGUGGCUUGAUAAGUUACAUCUGAAAGGUGACAGCUCAACUGUCGACGGAGGUGUAAGACUGUUAAGCUUGAGGCAAGCAGAAGAGUGUGGAACUCCGAGUGUAGCGGUGGAAUGCGUAGAGAUUCGGAAGAACACCCAAGGCGAAGGCAGCACUCUGGGCUUGAGAACCCUGACUAUUUAUAGAUAGGGCCUGACACUGAGGUACGAAAGCCAGGGGAGCGAACGGG